AAUGAAAAAAAAUCUGCAGUUCUCAAACCAGCACCUAGACCUGAAUACUUUUGUAAUUGCAUUUAAUUACAAAUUUAGUAUAGCCUCCGAGUUAUUUACUAAAAUGUAUCUGUAUAGCACCACCAGCUGUGUGUUCUUUUUCUUAUUUCUCUUCCAAUUUUGAGGUCCCUGAACCCAAAU